rnacentral:rRNA from 1 species
AUUGAACGCUGGCGGCAGGCCUAACACAUGCAAGUCGAACGCGUGGCGGACGGGUGAGUAAUGUCUGGGAAACUGCCUGAUGGAGGGGGCUAACUACUGGAAACGGUAGCUACUACCGCAUAACAUCAGAUGUGCCCUGAGGGGAUUAGCUAGUUGGUGGGGUAACGGCUCACCAAGGCGACGAUCCCUAGCUGGUCUGAGAGGAUGACCAGCCACACUGGAACUGAGACACGGUCCAGACUCCUACGGGAGGCAGCAGUGGGGAAUAUUGCACAAGGGGCGAAAGCCUGAUGCAGCCAUGCCGCGUGUAUGAAGAAGGCCUUCGGGGUGUAAAGUACUUUCAGCGGGGAGGCGUUACCCGCAGAAGAAGCACCGGCUAACUCCGUGCCAGCAGCCGCGGUAAUUC